rnacentral:lncRNA from 1 species
UGCCCUUCCCCAGCUGGCGUCAUCACCAUUUCCCUCUGUUUAUCGCUUCGUAAGCAUCACCCCAGCAACCACAGCGUGGCCCAGGCGGGGAUGCUGGCUGCAGGUGGGCACCGUGCCUCGGAAACAAAGAUCCUGCUUCCACCCUGACAUCUCCAGUGCCACUAACGGGAGAAGGGGACGUGGGGAAAUGCAGGGAUCAUCAAGGGCACCAGAACAGGAGGGGGAAUGACUGGCAAGGCAAGGUGAGAGCAUUGCAGUGGACUGCAGCAUGAGACCACCAAGCCACCCUGAGACACAAAGUCAGAUGUUGCCUGGGGUGCCUGAGCAGCAGCGGCGUCUUUCAGACACGUGGAGGACGGGCUCUGAAGCCCUGAAGGCGUCAGGAAGAGCAGUUUGGCGCACAGCAACUCAAGAAAGAUACAGGAAAAGACCAGAGGAAAAUGCCCCUGGAGAAGACGCACGUUCCUUCAGCUCACGG